rnacentral:rRNA from 1 species
CCUACGGGAUGCAGCAGUGAGGAAUAUUGGUCAAUGGACGGAAGUCUGAACCAGCCAUGCCGCGUGCAGGAAGACGGCUCUAUGAGUUGUAAACUGCUUUUGUACAAGGGUAAACCUGAAUACGUGUAUUCAGCUGAAAGUACUGUACGAAUAAGGAUCGGCUAACUCCGUGCCAGCAGCCGCGGUAAUACGUAGGGAGCGAGCGUUAUCCGGAAUUAUUGGGCGUAAAGGGUGCGUAGAUGGCAUAGUAAGUCUUUUGGAAAAAUGCUGGGCUCAAACCAGUAGGGCAAAAGAUACUGCAAAGCUAGAGUAUGACAGAGGCAGGCGGAAUUCCUAGUGUAGCGGUGAAAUGCGUAGAUAUUAGGAGGAACACCAGUGGCGAAGGCGGCCUGCUGGACGACAACUGACGGUGAGGCGCGAAAGCGUGGGGAGCAAACAGGAUUAGAUACCCCGGUAGUC